UGACCCCAACUUCCUCCGUAACUUCCUCCUGCCCCACCCUCAUCCAACGCACAGUUUUUUUUUUCUGGAGUGAAAAAUGUAGUGUCUGUGCAUUAUCCCCUAGGUGCUGAAGCAGUUAAGUUCUCUCUCUCUCGUUCCUUUUUGUUGUUUUAGCUCGACCACUCAUUUUAUUUUCCUGUCAUAACCAAGCAGGCUGAUAUAAAAAUGGUAUAAAAAAACAGCAGCACUUGUUGACUACGGUGGAAACUAGGUCCGCCUGGCAUCGCGACCCCAGCGGAGAGGCAGUAAUCAGGAUAAAGCACUACGCCAGUCGAGCGGGACACCAGUCAGUAUGUGAGCUGCUCCUGGACCAGGGGGCCCGUGCUAAUUCUCAAACUGCAUAAGGCUGCUGAGCAGGGUCACGUGGACGUGUGCGAGUUGUUGGUGAUGAACUGUCCUGCCUUGAGAAGCAUGAAGGAUAAAAGAUCACGCUUACCUUCAGACCUUUGCCUGAAGAACAGUGCCUUACUGGAGUUACUAAACCCUCAAUGACCUGCUG